GACGAACGCUGGCGGCGUGCUUAACACAUGCAAGUCGAACGGAAAGGCCCUUCGGGGUACUCGAGUGGCGAACGGGUGAGUAACACGUGGGUGGUCUGCCCUGCACUUUGGGAUAAGCCUGGGAAACUGGGUCUAAUACCGAAUAUGAUCAUCAGCUUCAUGGUUGGUGGUGGAAAGCUUUUGCGGUGUGGGAUGGGCCCGCGGCCUAUCAGCUUGUUGGUGGGGUAAUGGCCUACCAAGGCGACGACGGGUAGCCGGCCUGAGAGGGUGACCGGCCACACUGGGACUGAGAUCCGGCCCAGACUCCUACGGGAGGCAGCAGUGGGGAAUAUUGCACAAUGGGCGCAAGCCUGAUUCAGCGACGCCGCGUGAGGGAUGACGGCCUUCGGGUUGUAAACCUCUUUCAGCACAGACGAAGCGCAAGUGACGGUAUGUGCAGAAGAAGGACCGGCCAACUACGUGCCAGCCGCCGCAGUAA
rnacentral:rRNA from 1 species